rnacentral:lncRNA from 1 species
GUAAAUCAGGAAUUUUUCAUUUUCAUUUUUUUUCUAUCUCAACAGAGAAUUAACAGACUUUGCUGAGCAGCGCAGAGAUUAAAAGGAAUUAGAAGGUCCAAGUGGAUAGAUAAUAAAGCAAUAGGAAGAACAAGGAAGAUUACUAUUGUUUAGGAAGAUUACUGUGGUUUAAAUUCUUGGCGCAGAGCCUGGGAAAAUGGCCUGAAUCCCCAGGAGAAGAGAAGGCCUAGCUAGCAGGUGGGUACUAUAUGUUGCAACAUGCUCCAUCCCAUGUCUGCGGCAGAUGUUAUUCAGAGAUCACGCACUGUUUCCCGCUAUGCCUGGAUACAGCCUCAAGAUCCUUCUUAUUACAGUGUGGAGAAACAACAGAGUUGGACAACCCUCAGUCUCACGUUCCAUCUUCUUAUUUUGACCAAGGAAGGAACAAGAUGCUGAAGCUCAGGUGUGUAUCCCUGUAUCCCACCCACGCUCCCUGAUGUCUUGUGACCAUUACUGGGAAGGAACAACUGGGAUAGCACCGCUGGCCUGGGGGAUGGGGAUUAAAUGCUUAGAACCCUAGGUAUCUUUUUCUUUUUCCAGGGAUAUUAACUAGCUGAUUGGAAUUCCAUUUGUCAUCCUGCCCCAUAGUCAUUUUUGGGUAAAAGAUUCAAGAGGAUAAGUUAGGCAUCAGAACAGAGAAGCAAGACAUACGGAUUCAGAAAAUUGUAAUCUCCAAAUUAUCAAAGGUUGACAUGGAAGAGGAAAAUCUUAUCUUCUUUUUUUUUUAAAGGAAAACCUUAUCUUCUAAAUGAAUAUCAACAGGACUAAGAUGUGAACAAAAUGAGAAGUAUUGGAAAUAAAAACAGUACUACUAUUGAUAGAACUCCUACU